rnacentral:rRNA from 1 species
UACGUAGGGUGCGAGCGUUAAUCGGAAUUACUGGGCGUAAAGUGUGCGCAGGCGGCCGCGCAAGUCGAGUGUGAAAGCCCCGGGCUUAACCUGGGAACUGCAUUGGUGACUGCAAGGCUUGAGUGUGUCAGAGGGAGGUGGAAUUCCGCGUGUAGCAGUGAAAUGCGUAGAUAUGCGGAGGAACACCGAUGGCGAAGGCAGCCUCCUGGGAUAACACUGACGCUCAUGCACGAAAGCGUGGGGAGCAAACAGG